CUAACCUCCAGGCCCCUCAGGUGGAAAGGCCAAGGGAAUCCAUCCAGGUAUAGCCCAAGGCUCUGAGUCCGGGAAAGGAUGGGGUAGUUUGUAGGGCAAAGGUCCUUCUGCCUCUGACCUGGUUCCUGGAUAGCUUUGCCAAGAGGGGCCAGGUCAGGUCUCUCACGGGAGGGAUCAGCAGCCCCUCACUCUUCAAUGAUCACAUUCAAAAUCUACGUGGGGGGUUGUGUUGAGAUCUCAAAGGGGAGAAGGAGGAAGCCUCCAUGCACUCCAGGGGGAACGGAGACCCUCAACCUUGUUCCAUCUCCCCUUCCUUCCUGCCCCAAACCCAAGCAGCUGCAACAUUCCACUCCACGCCCAGCAGGCACGGGGUCCGGCUAGGAUUCUGUUUCUUGGGAGAGACGGGCCACGGGACUGCGUCCUGGUUUUCAGGGGCCUGGGGCGCCUGACUCUACCACCCGCGCUGUGGAGGCCGAGGCAAGGCUCGCCUGCAGAUAUGGGCUUGUGUUUGUUCUGUUCCUGGAAGACAUGCGCUGCCACCGAGUCACUGGGCUUUUGACUCAGCUGUGUUUCCUCCUGCAGAUGAACCCAAACCCAGGCUUUGGAGUCAGCAGAGCCAGCUGGGGCAUCAGCCUCCCACUGGCGUCUGUGUGACUUUGGGCAAUUCUCUUGACCUCUCUGAGCUUCGGUUUUCGGUCUCUCUGAAAUGGGAGGAACCAACUAGACCAGCGUCUCAAUCCCUGGACUCAAGCCUUGGACAUCUCAAGUGGAAUGUCAGCGUGGUACAGGCAGUGGUUGCUGUCCAUUUCUUCUCUGCUGUGUCCCCAGUGCCCAGAACAGUACCUGGGACAUAGCUGGCAUUCAGUAAAUAUUUAUAAAAUGGAUGGAUGGAACUGGGCACGGUAGCUCGCAUCUGUAAUCCCAGCACUUCGGGAGGCCAAGGCAGGCGGAUCACUUGAGGUCCGGAGUUCGAGAGCAGCCUGAUGAACAUGGUGAAACCCCAUCUCUAAUGAAAAUACAAAAAUUAACCAGGUGUGGUGGUGCACGCCUGUAAUCCCAGCUACUCAGGAGGCUGAGGCAGGAGAAUCACUUGAACCCAGGAGGCAGAAUUUGCAGUGAGCCGAGAUUAUGCCAUUGCACUCCAGCCUGGGUGACAGAGCAAGACUCUGUCUCAAAACAAAAAAAGAGUGGAUGGAUGGAUGGAUGAACUCACCUGCUGGUUGUCUCUGCUGAGCUAACUUCACACAUAUGCCAGCCUCGUUUCUAGAACAUUCCAUAGGCUAUGAGGUACCUGUUGGAAAUAAAUGCAGAUGUAGGUGGUCACCCUCACAGCACAUUGGGGCCACAGCUUGGAAGUCCCCUGGCCACUGUGUCACCUCGGACCUAGGAUGCCUUUCCAUUGAGACAUUCAGAUGGCCUUAGUGCCACAGAGGGACGAGGUCCGUGGACAUUCUGGUCUCCAGCUUUCCAGGAAACGGGAGGCUCCUGGCAGCGCCCUGGCUGCCAAGACAAGGCUCCUCCAAGCCUGGCUGACUCAGCAUAUUCUCCAGGCUUCUGCUGAGACACCCCUUCCCGGUGAUGGCCCCUCUGGAGUCCCUGUCAUGGGAACUUGUGUGUGGGAUGCUUCCUUCUCUUUCACGGCAUUGUCUGUGCGGGUUCUGCCUGAGCACAUGAAGUGCGUUCACUGUGCCCAGCAUGGUGCCUGGUACACACAGGGCUCAACGCGCUCCAUUUGAAGGCUGUCUGGAGCCCCCUACACUGGGCCCAGGUGGAUCUUAUCAAUUCACUCAACAAAUAUUUGCUGAACUCCCAUCUGGGCUGGCUCUGCCUGUGAGGCUAGGAACGUCAAAAGGAACCCAGGCAGCCAACCCUCCAGGACCUUGGGGUGGUGUGAAGGCCCCAGAUUUCUGAAAGUGGAACAAAGCCAGACCCUGUGGCCGCCACCUUCUGGCCAACCUCAGAUGGAGCCUUCCAGACACAUCAACUCCCAGGGCUGUGGAAAGAAAAGAUGGAGUCUCUACCUGGCCGGUGCCAUGACACCUGCACACGUGGCAACAAAGAAAAGGGAAGAGAAAGACUCCAUGUUGACUCUACCUGGCUCCCAGGUAUCCCUUCUCUAUCGGCACGGCUGCCGACUUCGCCUGUGCAAGUUUCCAGCUUGCUUACCUAUGCUUGCAGCUUGAUUUUUCAGGCCGCUUUUUGUUAGAAAAGAAAUUAGUUGGGGGCUGCUUUAUUAUUAAAAUAAAAACCUUACUUUCUGUACUCUCA